UUUGGGAAAUGACGACAAGCUACAGAAAACGUUCAGAGGCAGCUGCUAUGCUGAACUUAUUAUUUGCACGUCAGUCUGAUCCCUUG